rnacentral:rRNA from 1 species
AGCGGCGGACGGGUGAGUAACGCGUGGGUAACCUGCCCUAUACACACGGAUAACAUACCGAAAGGUAUGCUAAUACGAGAUAAUAUAAGAGAUUCGCAUGGAUUUCUUAUCAAAGCUGAGGCGGUAUAGGAUGGACCCGCGUCUGAUUAGCUAGUUGGUAAGGUAACGGCUUACCAAGGCGACGAUCAGUAGCCGACCUGAGAGGGUGAUCGGCCACAUUGGAACUGAGACACGGUCCAAACUCCUACGGGAGGCAGCAGUGGGGAAUAUUGCACAAUGGGCGAAAGCCUGAUGCAGCAACGCCGCGUGAGUGAUGAAGGCCUUCGGGUCGUAAAACUCUGUCCUCAAGGAAGAUAAUGACGGUACUUGGGGAGGAAGCCCCGGCUAACUACGUGCCAGCAGCCGCGGUAAUACGUAGGGGGCUAGCGUUAUCCGGAUUUACUGGGCGUAAAGGGUGCGUAGGCGGUCUCUUAAGUCAGGAGUGAAAGGCUACGGCUCAACCGUAGUAAGCUCUUGAAACUGGGAAACUUGGGUGCAGGAGAGGAAAGUGGAAUUCCUAGUGUAGCGGUGAAAUGCGUAGAUAUUAGGAGGAACACCAGUAGCGAAGGCGGCUUUCUGGACUGUAACUGACACUGAGGCACGAAAGCGUGGGGAGCAAACAGGAUUAGAUACCCUGGUAGUCCACGCCGUAAACGAUGAGUACUAGGUGU